CCCGCUGAACUUAAGCAUAUUAAUAAGCGGAGGAAAAGAAACUAACCAGGAUUCCCCUAGUAACGGCGAGUGAAGCGGGAACAGCUCAAAUUUGAAAUCUCUUCGGGUAACCGGAGCGAGUUGUAAUUUAGAGAGGCAUUUUCGGAGGCUAGGUGGGCACAAGUCCUUUGGAACGAGGCAUCAGAGAGGGUGAGAAUCCCGUCUUUGGUCCACUGCAGCUUCUGUAUGAUAUGCUUUCGAAGAGUCGGUUUGUUUGGGAAUGCAGACCAAAAUGGGUGGUAAAUACCAUCUAAAGCUAAAUAACGGCGAGAGACCGAUAGCGAACAAGUACCGUGAGGGAAAGAUGAAAAGAACUUUGAAAAGAGAGUUAAACAGUACGUGAAAUUGUCAAAAGGGAAACGCUUGAAACCAGUGUUGCUGGCGAGAAUUCAGCCUUUUCUUUGGAGGGGGUGCACUUUUUCGUCGGCAGGUCAACAUCGGUUUUCGCUGGAGUAAAAAAUCGCAGGAAGGUGACGUAGGCUUCGGUUUGCGUGUUAUAGCCUGCGACGAUGCUCUGGGGGAGACCGAGGAACGCAACGCAGUCUUGGGGAACUGGUCGCUGGUAGGCGUAAACGGAUCGACUGCAUGCAGACGGUUCGUUUUCACUGUUUGCCACACGGCUAGCUACCACACCUUGUGCUUGGGAUGUUGAUGAAAUGGUUUUAAACGACCCGUCUUGAAACACGG
rnacentral:rRNA from 1 species